rnacentral:rRNA from 1 species
CUGAUGUGGGGGAUAACCAUUGGAAACGAUGGCUAAUACCGCAUGAUGCCUACGGGCCAAAGAGGGGGACCUUCGGGCCUCUCGCGUCAGGAUAUGCCUAGGUGGGAUUAGCUAGUUGGUGAGGUAAGGGCUCACCAAGGCGACGAUCCCUAGCUGGUCUGAGAGGAUGAUCAGCCACACUGGAACUGAGACACGGUCCAGACUCCUACGGGAGGCAGCAGUGGGGAAUAUUGCACAAUGGGCGCAAGCCUGAUGCAGCCAUGCCGCGUGUGUGAAGAAGGCCUUCGGGUUGUAAAGCACUUUCAGUCGUGAGGAAGGUGGUGUAGUUAAUAGCUGCAUUAUUUGACGUUAGCGACAGAAGAAGCACCGGCUAACUCCGUGCCAGCAGCCGCGGUAAUACGGAGGGUGCGAGCGUUAAUCGGAAUUACUGGGCGUAAAGCGCAUGCAGGUGGUUUGUUAAGUCAGAUGUGAAAGCCCGGGGCUCAACCUCGGAAUUGCAUUUGAAACUGGCAGACUAGAGUACUGUAGAGGGGGGUAGAAUUUCAGGUGUAGCGGUGAAAUGCGUAGAGAUCUGAAGGAAUACCGGUGGCGAAGGCGGCCCCCUGGACAGAUACUGACACUCAGAUGCGAAAGCGUGGGGAGCAAACAGGAUUAGAUACCCUGGUAGUCCACGCCGUAAACGAUGUCUACUUGGAGGUUGUGGCCUUGAGCCGUGGCUUUCGGAGCUAACGCGUUAAGUAGACCGCCUGGGGAGUACGGUCGCAAGAUUAAAACUCAAAUGAAUUGACGGGGGCCCGCACAAGCGGUGGAGCAUGUGGUUUAAUUCGAUGCAACGCGAAGAACCUUACCUACUCUUGACAUCCAGAGAACUUUCCAGAGAUGGAUUGGUGCCUUCGGGAACUCUGAGACAGGUGCUGCAUGGCUGUCGUCAGCUCGUGUUGUGAAAUGUUGGGUUAAGUCCCGCAACGAGCGCAACCCUUAUCCUUGUUUGCCAGCGAGUAAUGUCGGGAACUCCAGGGAGACUGCCGGUGAUAAACCGGAGGAAGGUGGGGACGACGUCAAGUCAUCAUGGCCCUUACGAGUAGGGCUACACACGUGCUACAAUGGCGCAUACAGAGGGCAGCCAACUUGCGAAAGUGAGCGAAUCCCAAAAAGUGCGUCGUAGUCCGGAUUGGAGUCUGCAACUCGACUCCAUGAAGUCGGAAUCGCUAGUAAUCGUGGAUCAGAAUGCCACGGUGAAUACGUUCCCGGGCCUUGUACACACCGCCCGUCACACCAUGGGAGUGGGCUGCAAAAGAAGUAGGU